UUGGCUUUUCAAGGCAGAUUUUAUUCUGCCCCACGCAGACACACACAUCAUUUAGACAGAACAGAAAUUGAAUUAGAACGUUGUGACAUCACAAACAUGGCUGCUGUUGAAAGGCACUUCCUAAUUAUACAACAAUGGAUUCAAUAGAACACAACUGAACUAACAGGUUUCUGGUGCAUUAAAGCUAUAAGGAAGUGUGACACAGAAUUUGCAAAUGAACUUCAUAAAUGUAAAAUAAGUGAGAAACUCAAAUCUACACUUUCAUUUAGAUCUGUGGUGGAGAUCAAAUGGUAAAUCAGUCACAUAACCAAUGAUGUAACACAAAACAAUGGACAAAAAGUGAAAUAUACACAUCACCCCUACAACUACAGAAAACAAAAUGCAAUCAAUUAACUCAGUCCCAAUACUAAACUACAAAUCACAUACAGAACUCUUGGUUAUCAAUCAUAGAUAAAGGUUGCUAACAGGUGAGGUUUCAUUUGAACAGUAAGGUUGCAUUUAUGCAGGCAGCCCAAUUCUGAUCUUUUGCCCAAUUAUUGGCAAAAGAUCUGAUCUCACUGGUCAAAAGAUCAGAAUUGGGCUGCCUGUGUAGACGCUCCCUUACUAGGCCAAGCUGGACGUCUAGGGGGUAUGUUCAGGAUUGCAAACAACAAAUUGCAACGUCACUCAUCUCCCAUACACAUCUGCUGACAUUUAUGAACACAAGGCAACAGUUUGAUAAUCCUGAAUAUGCCCUUCAGUUUUUGCUCAAGUGCGUGCCAUCAUGACUUGAAAUGAAUUUGUUCAAGGUUUUAUAAUGUAAAUAUAUAAAUACCGAGGGAGCGUUUCCACCCUCCCACAAUGUUUCCACUACUAGCCUAGCAAAGUAGCAUCACUCACAUUUAAUAAAUACACCCUGUGCCCCAAAUGGCACUAUAAUCCCUAUGUAGUGCACAACUUUAGACUAGGGCCCAUAUAGUGUAGUGCACUAUAUAGGGAAUAGGGUGACAUUUUGGACACAACCAAUGAGGUCUUCCCUUUGACCAAGUGGACUCCAAUGAUUUAUAUAAACACAACUUAUUUAUGUGUGUGUCUACAUUUACCUACCUAUAUGUGAAUAUGUACAUAUAUGCUUGUCUAUGGUGGACUCAAGGUCACCAUGGUGUCAACAUUACAUACAGUAAGUCUAAGGCACCGUCAACAAAGUAUACCAGGGUUCUUGUUAAGGAGAAGUGCAUAACAUUUACAUAGAAGCCAUUCUUCGUCUGCUGUUUUCAGUCUUCUCCUUUAAUGCGCCAAUCAGCAGUUGAAACAAUAACAAAUCGUCUCCCCACCUGUUUCGGUAAAAAGCUGAGGGAUGGGGCUCAAACUCAUAGAGUUAUGGAUACGAGGACUGACCAUCCAUGGUAUCAAAAUGAUAGUUAACCAUGUUGAGGCUAAAUAGGGUUUGUUUACAUUUACUUUGUUUACAAACAUUGGAGUAAAACAAGCUUAGCAUUUUGGGUUCUGAUGGGGUACAACAGUUGAACUAACCUCAUGAGGCAUUUCUAAGUUCUAUUCUUCAAGAAUCAAUUGGUACAUAUCAUUAAUACAUCCAAAAAUGUAUCUGCAGAUUGCCACUUUAAAGAAGCAAUUGAUGAAAUCCCAAGUAUUGUAUUGUUAUCAAGUGCUUAAGUUAGUCCUGUAUGAUUUACAUUUAAAGUCAGUCAGAUGGUUUGAAGUAGUAAUCUAUGAAGUGCCAAAGCACACUUGGACCUUGGUGGACAGGAGCUAUACAGCCGCAGCCCUUGGUCGUGUUCAUUACUGCACACCACAGCAAAACUUUUUGCAAUGGAAAAACAAACUAAGCAUUUGCCUGAUGAAAACCUUCCAACUGUUUUACUUGUUUUGAAAGCAGUAACUCCCCUCAAUGUACUCUGAACAUUUAAUGACUCUAGGACCAAGAACAUGUAUUCAAAAUAGCUUCUGAAGUUCGGUAAUUGUGUGUUUGUUAAUGUUCAUAUAUAGACGGUUUUUCUUCCAUUUUGGUGCCUAAUGAACAUGACCCAGCUGCUGCACUGAGGUUCCUGAAGUCAGUCUUGGCAGUAAGAGGAUUUAUUCAUGAAUUACUGUACUUUUACCUUUAGUAGUACAAAGCAGGGAGUGGUCUCAGACUCAGAAAGACUGAUAGGAAACCCACUAAGUAAUACAAACCAUAGAUGGCUUUAUCUAGCGGCAGUGGAAGACUUAUGUUCCCAUUCUCCACCCUUUCCCAGUGCACAUGGUUCUAAAAGCAUAGCACUGGUGUAAGGAUUGGCUGGAGGGAGUUUCCACCAUUGUCAAAGCCAUAGGGGGAAAAAGUAGGCCAGUGCAGUGCAUGCUUUGGGAGAAGGAUGGAGAAUUGGGACUAAUUUAUCUCCUGGUUACAGCCUGGUUUCCACCCAUCCAGUUGCUAUAGUUUUUGUGGACAGUAGACAUAUGAAAGAUGACUGAAAACUCAAUCAAUACAUAAUGACUAGAUAGGAACAUGCAUAUUACACAGAUCAGUUGAGCAAACAUGCCUUGUGUUUACAACGGGCGGUUUAACGUGUGGUUUAAUGUGUUUUUUUUCUUUAAGCUUUUUAUGGCUUUAUCUUGACUGUUAUCAGAUAGACAGGGUUAAAGAGUUACGAAAAAGGACUUGUAUACUGCAUCCUAAAUGACACCCUAUUCCCUAUAUAUAGUGCACUACUUUUAACCAGAGCCUUAUGGGUCCUGGUCAAAAGUAGUCCACUAUAAAGGGAAUUGGGUGCCAUUUGGGACACAGACAAAGUCUGUCUACGGCUCCUGAAGUGGGGCAAAAACCCAGCAGUUUGCAUAGGACAUUAAUAAUAAGGCUUUCUUGGGCAUUUGGCUUAUAAUUGGCUUAUCCUGUAGAAUUCAGUAGUCUCAUGAUACACUGGUCAAUUAAAUAAACAUACUUUUUUGACAUUGAAUAAAACAUUGUGCUUGCAUGUCAUCAUCAAUAUAAUUGUGCUAAAUUGAAAACAAAAAGAUAAAAUGUUUAAAAAAAAAGACACUACAGCCAUUCAAAGAAUUGGCGGUUCGACUAUGAAUAUCUAGUAUGUACAGACACCAGAGGCGGUUGGUGGGAGAAAGCUAUAGGAGGACUGGCUCACUAAUGGCUGGAA
rnacentral:lncRNA from 1 species